GGGGGUAUAGCUCACUUGGUAGAGUGCUUGCCUUGCAUGCACAAGGUCCUGGGUUCAAUCCCCAGCACCACCA
rnacentral:tRNA from 1 species